AACGGACGCUGGCGGCAUGCCUAACACAUGCAAGUCGAACGCGUGGAGCGAUCCACGAGUGGCGCACGGGUGAGUAACGCGUGGGAACCUGCCCUGGCGUGUGGGAUAACCCGGCGAAAGCCGGGCUAAUACCGCAUACGACCUGAGGGUGAAAGAUUUAUCGCUCUAGGAGGGGCCCGCGUCGGAUUAGCGAGUUGGUGAGGUAAUGGCGCACCAAGGCGAUGAUCCGUAGCUGGUCUGAGAGGAUGAUCAGCCACACUGGGACUGAGACACGGCCCAGACUCCUACGGGAGGCAGCAGUGGGGAAUGUUGGACAAUGGGGGCAACCCUGAUCCAGCAAUGCCGCGUGGGCGAUGAAGGCCUUCGGGUUGUAAAGCCCUUUUGCACGCGACGAUGAUGACGGUAGCGUGAGAAGAAGCCCCGGCUAACUUCGUGCCAGCCGCCGCGGUAA
rnacentral:rRNA from 1 species